rnacentral:rRNA from 1 species
UACGUAGGGUGCAAGCGUUAAUCGGAAUUACUGGGCGUAAAGCGUGCGCAGGCGGCUUUGCAAGUCAGAUGUGAAAUCCCCGGGCUCAACCUGGGAACUGCAUUUGUGACUGCAAGGCUGGAGUACGGCAGAGGGGGAUGGAAUUCCGCGUGUAGCAGUGAAAUGCGUAGAUAUGCGGAGGAACACCGAUGGCGAAGACAAUCCCCUGGGCCUGUACUGACGCUCAUGCACGAAAGCGUGGGGAGCAAACAGG